rnacentral:rRNA from 1 species
AUCCAGGCGGCGGAAUUCAGGAUGGCGGGCGUGUCUUGAGGGGCGCGUUCGUCGUUUGAUAUUUCCGCCGCCGAAGACGUCGCGACCUGUUCGCGGUUGGUCCCUGCUCGGAGGAGCCGCGUUCGAGUUCGUUGUGGGCGCGUUUUUACGCGUUACACGGCGAAGACGCGGAUCUCUGGCUGACCGACGGACAGUACGCUACAAACGGUGUCCGAUGUUGUCGUCUCGUACGCGCGCGCAUCGGUACCGGUCGGCGACGAAUUCUUCGGGCCUCUUUCCGACCCGUCUUGAAACACGGACCAAGGAGUCUAACAUGCGCGCGAGUCGCGGGGUGUCGAGCGUAUCACGGUACGCUCGUUACGUUACGAAACCCGUACAUGUCGAAGGCGUAAUGAAAGUAAAUGGGGAAGAUGGUGUUCCGAGUACACGUUCCGCGGUCGUCGGUACCGCGGCCGGGCACCCGCAUUCCCGGGGCGUCUCAACGGCCCGUCGCGGAUGCGGACAGUCGUCUCUCGGGGCGGCUGUCGGUCUGCGACGAACCGA